rnacentral:rRNA from 1 species
AUGCAGUGCCGCCGCCGCCUCGCCCCCCUCCUCCGCGCGCCGUCGCCCAAAACCCUCCUCCCCCGCCUCCUCUCCCGCCUCGUCUCCUCCUCCUCCCCCUCCUCCCCGCCGCCCUCUAGGGGCGGCGGGGAUGAAGCCGGGGACGGCAGCGUCGCCGGGGUGGCGGUGAAGCAGGUGACGCGGGGGAACCUGGCGGAGGCGCUGGAGGAGCUGCGGGCGCGGGUGCGCGACGCCGCGUUCGUCGGGAUUGACCUGGAGAUGAGCGGCGUCACCAGUGCACCGUGGCGGGACACCUUCGAGCUCGACCGCGCCGACGUCCGGUACCUCAAGCUCCGCGACUCCGCCAAGCGCUUCGCCGUGUUGCAGCUCGGCGUCUGCCCCUUCCGCUGGGACCCCGCCAAAUCCGCCUUCGUUGCCCAUCCGCAUAACUUUUUUAUCUUCCCUCGCAAGGAGCUUCCAUAUGACAGUUCAUCUCACGAAUUUCUCUGUCAGACCACUUCACUUGACUUCCUAGCAAAACACCAGUUUGAUUUCAACACGUGCUUCCAUGAAGGAAUAUCUUAUUUAUCCAGAGCACAAGAAGAAGAGGCUCUUCAGAAACUAAAUGUACUGCAUCAUGAUGGAAUAUCUGCAUUUCCAAAUACUUCUAAACAGGAAGAAGAUGUGCAGUUAAAGAGUACUGCUGAUCUUCUUUUCUCAGAGAGAAUGAAGAUCAGAUUUAAUGAGUGGCGUGAUGCGAUAAGCGCCAACCCCAGGGUGGAUAACCAUAAGUUAGGAAGCAAUAAAUUCACCACAGACCAAUUUCAGACAGUUUUCUUCAAAAUGCGCCCAGCUAUUAUGCUUGAUGGGUUUACAUCACAUCAAUUAAAGUUAAUUCAACAGGUUUUGAGAAAAAACUUUAGAGACCUCAUGUAUGUUUGUACAUUUGGCGAGGAUGAAACAUCAGAAAGGAGAGUAGUUUAUACAGACAACAACGAAGACAGUAUAUUAUUGAUGAAAGAUGUGCAAGAAGAUCUAUUCAGAAGAAGAAAAGCAAAAGUGGAAUCAGCAAUAGGAAUCCGCCAUGUCAUUGAUCUUAUUGCCUCAGAAAGAAAAUUGAUUGUUGGUCACAGUUGUUUCCUAGAUAUUGCACAAGUCUACUCCAAAUUUAUUGGGCCUCUUCCCUCAUCCAUUAAGGAAUUUGCCUUGGCUAUCAACAGAAUUUUCCCACAUGUUGUAGAUACUAGGCAUCUUAUGUCUGCCAGCGAUGCGGUUCAGCAUCUGAUGAGGCAGAAAAGCAAAGCACUUUCUUCAGCCUUCUCAUUAUUGUGCCCUGCAUUUCAUUCAACUGCUGGGGAAGCAUCUAUCCCGGCUCCUGUGAGAAUAGAAGUCGAGGCAGAUGAAACAACGUUAUCAUGCUUUGCUUCAGGUGCUAAGCAUGAGGCAGGGUAUGAUGCAUUCAUGACUGGAUGUGUUUUUGCGCAGUUGUGUGCCCAUAUUGGCGUCAAAUUUGAAGACUUCACACCUAAGGAGAACCUAGAGAUGAAUAAGAAGAUGAAGAAAUAUAUCAAUCUUCUGCCCCCUAGCUUUAACAGCGGAACAGUACUUGAUUUGCGUACUGGAAUGGAGAGAGCAGAUGCAUGUUAUAAGCUUAGAUAUCCUGCUGCUGUGCAUGAUAACAUUGUUCUCAUCUGGGGAUUCCAAUCUGGGCUGAGCGCAAAAGAUAUAAAGGGCUGCAUCUGCAAAGUGUUUGGCCCAGCUUCAGUAACGACCGUCUUCUCGAUCGAUUCCACUGCUGUUCUCAUUCAGUUCAGUAAACAAGAGUCUGUAAAUGAUUUCAUGGAUCUGAAGGCUACGUUGGAGAAGCAAGAUAGUGCUAUUUCACUCUUGCACCCUCUGUCAACUAUAUUAGAAGGAGGCCAAACACGAGCUGCAAACUAUGAUACCUACAGAGACAUCUGCAGCUCAUCUGUAACGAAGUAUUUCUUUGCUGAUCAAGCUAAUGCGGUCUGUUCGGCUUCAGAUACUGAGCUCAGAGGUGAGAACGUAGAUGCCGGUGAUGCACUGGGAACAAAUAGCGUUCUUGAUGAAACUGCGCAUACCUUGGUAAAGCAUGCAGAAGGAACCAAGCAUUGUUCCAAGAAGCAAGAUGCUACUGAUAUUUCAUGCCAAGACAUCUUGGAUGCGCUUCAAGAUGGUAAAACUUUAUUUGGUAAACAAACCAGGCGGACAUGA